AUUGAACGCUGGCGGCAGGCCUAACACAUGCAAGUCGAACGAGUGGCGGACGGGUGAGUAAUGUAUGGGAAACUGCCUGAUGGAGGGGGAUAACUACUGGAAACGGUAGCUAAUACCGCAUACCAUCAGAUGUGCCCAGAUGGGAUUAGCUUGUUGGGGGGGUAACGGGGCACCAAGGCGACGAUCCCUAGCUGGUCUGAGAGGAUGACCAGCCACACUGGGACUGAGACACGGUCAAGACUCCUACGGUAGGCAGCAGUGGGGAAUAUUGCAAAAUGGGCGCAAGCCUGAUGCAGCCAUGCCGCGUGUAUGAAGAAGGCCUGCGGGUUGUAAAGUACUUUCAGUGGGGAGGCGUUACCGGCAGAAGAAGCACCGGCUAACUCCGUGCCAGCAGCCGCGGUAAUUC
rnacentral:rRNA from 1 species